rnacentral:misc_RNA from 1 species
GAAAUGCGAUAAGUAAUGUGAAUUGCAGAAUUCAGUGAAUCAUCGAAUCUUUGAACGCACAUUGCGCCCGCCAGUAUUCUGGCGGGCAUGCCUGUUCGAGCGUCAUUACAACCCUCAGGCCCCCGGGCCUGGCGUUGGGGAUCGGCGGAAGCCCCCUGCGGGCACAACGCCGUCCCCCAAAUACAGUGGCGGUCCCGCCGCAGCUUCCAUUGCGUAGUAGCUAACACCUCGCAACUGGAGAGCGGCGCGGCCACGCCGUAAAACACCCAACUUCUGAAUGUUGACCUCGAAUCAGGUAGGAAUACCCGCUGAACUUAAGU